rnacentral:rRNA from 1 species
GAUGAACGCUGGCGGCGUGCCUAAUACAUGCAAGUCGAGCGAACGGACGAGAAGCUUGCUUCUCUGAUGUUAGCGGCGGACGGGUGAGUAACACGUGGAUAACCUACCUAUAAGACUGGGAUAACUUCGGGAAACCGGAGCUAAUACCGGAUAAUAUUUUGAACCGCAUGGUUCAAAAGUGAAAGACGGUCUUGCUGUCACUUAUAGAUGGAUCCGCGCUGCAUUAGCUAGUUGGUAAGGUAACGGCUUACCAAGGCAACGAUGCAUAGCCGACCUGAGAGGGUGAUCGGCCACACUGGAACUGGGACACGGUCCAGACUCCUACGGGAGGCAGCAGUAGGGAAUCUUCCGCAAUGGGCGAAAGCCUGACGGAGCAACGCCGCGUGAGUGAAGAAGGUCUUCGGAUCGUAAAACUCUGUUAUUAGGGAAGAACAUAUGUGUAAGUAACUGUGCACAUCUUGACGGUACCUAAUCAGAAAGCCACGGCUAACUACGUG